UCUCUCAUUAAGCCUAUAUUGGUAGGGACAUCUGAGAGUAUUUAUGAACAGCAAAGGCUUUGAUAGGAGGGA
rnacentral:snoRNA from 1 species